GCCGCUGGUGUGAGCCGGGGCUCGGCGCGAGCCAGGGACGACGGAAGGGACGGGCAGGUGUGGGCGCGGGGCCGCUCAGCCCGACGGCGGGAGUCGCAGCCACUCGGUGCAUGGGCCAGUGAGGACGCGCGGAGAUCCCCGCGCCGCGGCGAAGGCGGAGCAGCGCGGGAGCAAGGCGCUGCCCGGCGACCCUGCGUCCGAGCGAGCGGAACCUUGCGCUUCGCCCGGGGACGGUCCGAAGUCCGCGCUAUGGAAGAGGAGAAAUAUUUGCCUGAGCUGAUGGCAGAGAAAGAUAGCCUGGAUCCAUCUUUUGUGCAUGCAUCGCGCCUUUUGGCGGAAGAAAUUGAAAAAUUUCAAGGUUCUGAUGGAAAAAAAGAAGAUGAAGAAAAGAAAUAUCUUGAUGUCAUCAGCAACAAAAACAUAAAGCUCUCAGAAAGGGUAUUGAUUCCUGUCAAGCAAUAUCCAAAGUUCAAUUUUGUGGGGAAAUUGCUUGGACCAAGAGGAAACUCCUUGAAGAGACUACAGGAAGAAACAGGUGCUAAAAUGUCUAUCCUGGGCAAAGGAUCAAUGAGAGAUAAAGCAAAGGAAGAAGAAUUAAGGAAGAGUGGGGAAGCCAAGUAUGCCCACUUGAGUGAUGAACUUCAUGUAUUAAUUGAAGUGUUUGCUCCACCUGGGGAAGCUUAUUCACGAAUGAGUCAUGCACUGGAAGAGAUUAAAAAAUUCCUGGUUCCUGACUACAAUGAUGAAAUUCGUCAGGAACAGCUACGUGAAUUAUCUUACUUAAAUGGCUCAGAGGACUCUGGUCGUGGCAGAGGUAUUAGAGGCAGAGGGAUCAGAAUAGCCCCCACAACCCCUUCAAGGGGCCGUGGGGGCGCCAUUCCUCCUCCCCCCCCACCUGGACGGGGUGUCCUCACCCCUCGAGGGACUACUGUGACUCGUGGAGCUCUUCCAGUGCCUCCUGUAGCAAGAGGUGUCCCUACUCCACGAGCCCGCGGAGCACCGGCAGUGCCGGGAUACAGGGCACCCCCUCCUCCAGCCCACGAAGCUUAUGAAGAAUAUGGGUAUGAUGAUGGCUACGGGGGUGAAUAUGAUGACCAGACCUAUGAGACUUAUGAUAACAGCUAUGCCACCCAAACGCAAAGUGUGCCUGAAUACUAUGACUACGGUCAUGGAGUAAGUGAGGAUGCCUAUGACAGCUACGCACCAGAAGAAUGGGCCACAACCCGCUCCAGCCUGAAGGCACCACCGCCAAGGUCAGCCAGAGGGGGAUACAGGGAGCACCCCUAUGGUAGAUAUUGAAGGUCCUUCUCACCCGUGACCUCACCUCAAAGACAAUUCAUAGCCUGUGGUCUCCACAUAAACAGCAACAAGACAAGUAUCCACAAGCAAAGAGCACAUAAUUGAAUAGCAGAUGUGAUGGCCUAAGAAGGAUAGAGGCCAAAUAAGAAGAGGAUUUGGAUUUGAACAAAUGUGAUUCUGAAGUGACUAUGAAUAACAACCACUGAUUAAAAUAUAUGUGGAACAUAUUAAUAUGUUAAUUAUGCAGCUUAAUAAAGAAGAGGUUAAUCUGGGCUGGGAUUUUAAAAGAUGGCUUCAUAGAAGAGGUGAGAUUUGGAUGAAAAGUCAGAUAUGGACAGAAGAACAUUUCAAGAGUGGAUCAUCACAUCCAUAGCCUACAUGUCGUCUUGAGUACAACAGUAAUUUCAGUCAGCCCCUGGGAUGCUGGACCCAUAUGCCAAUGAUCCAUAUAUGUGCAUCUCUUCAGUGACUUCACUUUGGUAGCUUCAAGUGGACUCUGGUUUUCUUCACCAUGACUUGCUUCACCACUUAACACCCAAGCCUAACACAGAGCCUGGCACAUAGUACAUACUCAGAAAUAUUUGUUGAAUAAAUAACAUGUGAAUGAAUGAAGCUAUGAGAGCAAAGAAUUCUUUCCAACUUUCGUCACAUCAGAUCUUACACUGUACUGGCCAAAAAGUGAAAGGAGGAAAGAAAUGGAAGCAUAGAAAAGGAGUCAAUGUUCUUCUCUCUACUCCAAAAUUUCACAGACUUGCAAUAAUGUCUCCUCCAAGAAAGAGCCUCCCAGACUUCUCAGUUUGUUUUUAUCUGGAAAGAAGAAAGAGGAAGACAAGAAAGUCUUUGCUGCUCACUGUUGGUGCUACCCACUAAUAAAAACAAAUAUUUCAGCAAAAAGUUAACAGUUUCCAAAUAGCGUAACAAAAACGAAUUGGACAUUCCUACAUUUACCACUGCAGCCUUCUGUUUCCUCUCUAUGAGCACAGUCCUGAUAUCUUAAGGAUAUAUCGACACUAUGCGCACCCCAUUCCCCUACCUAAAUUUCUGAUCACUAAAAAGAAAGAGCAGGACAUAAUUACAGGAGUAAGCAGCAGGGUAUGGUUUUUGACAACAAGGACAGUGAGCCCGACUGCCUGAUUUCAAGUCCUGGGUCCACUAUUUCCUAACAGUGAGAUCACAGGCAAGUAGGUAACCUUGCUUUGUUUCUGUUUCCUCAUCUGCAAAAUGGAGAUUAUAAUAACACCUAACUCAUAGGGCUACUUACUGGAUUAAAUAAGUUAGAACAUGUAAAGCCCUUAGCAUAAUGCCUGGCACAUAGUAGACACACAGUAAAUGCUCACUAAUCAUAUUCUUAGUUUUUGUAUUACUGUUUUUGUGAACAAUUCCAAAUUAAAGCAGGUUUAUUUCUAAUGCAGAAGGGAUUAAUUCCCACUAAGACUGAAUAAGGAAAAAAAGAGAGAAUGUACAUAUAAGUAACAGUAAGUAUAAAAGGGAAGAUUGCCAUAGAUGCAUUAGAGGUAUAAAAUGGCAUGCUAGAAAGAAUUCUUAAGGUUUUGUUAUGUCCUCUUGAACAGUUUUUCUUUAAUUCUUACUCCUGAUAGAAAAUGUCCCUUUAUAUAACUUUUAAAUACCAAAUACGAAGAUUACUCUUGUUUCAUGUUUCUUGUUCUAAAAAAUUUGGAGAAUAGCUGAUCACAAUCUACUUUGUAAUACCCCCAGCCAAAAAGCAAAAACAAAAACAAAAAUGAAGACAAAAAACAAAACAAACAAAAACACCCCAGCCUUGUUAAGGCCUCACAAGUAAUUUACUUCAAUGAUUUUCAAACUUAAUCAUUUAAAGGCAAUUCAUAUUCCCCAUAGUUCUUUGAAUUCCUUCACCUUAGCAAGAAAGGCAUCAAAUUUUCCAUGUUAACAGUAUAACAUAAUACAAUAACACCUUUAGCUCUUAAAAAAAAGAGGAAAAAAUCCUUCUCCACUUGACUGCACCUUUCCCUGCUUAUUUGUUCUUUAUGAAAGUAUAAAAUGUAUUUCAUUUAACAAAUAUUUAUUUAGUUUCUAUUAUGUGCCAAGCACUAUAUUAGAAACUAGAGUUCUUUUAAAAAACCAAAAAAAAAAAAAAACAAACAAAAGCAGUGAACAAGGCAAAGUAUUUUCAUGAAGCCUGGAGUCUAGAGAGGGUUUGAUAUAUCUCAAUUAUAAAUUAAGAUCAUUGUUACCCCAGAAAUAAAUGGAGAGCUUGAGAUUGAAUAAUGAAGGUGGGUAGAGCGGAGGAUGAGAGCUAUGUUGAGGCAAUUACAGGAGGCCUCGAUGAGGAAGGGACAUUUAAGCUACACCUGAAGGAAGAAAAGGUAACAUCCAUUCAAAUUGCUGGGAGAGGAGCACAUUUCAUGUAGAAAGAACAGUGGGACAGAGGUCGUAGUGUGAAAAAGAACGUGCACAAGUCAGUGGGUCUGUAACUGGACACCAGUGAGCAAUGGGAAGCAAUGGUGUGACAAGAGCUAGGAAGGCAAGUAUAGGUGGGAUCACUCAGGGUUUUCAGAUUGGGACAUUCUCCGGACACUGCUAAAAGGUAUAUAUACAAGGAGCUAGGGUAAGCAGGAUCUAUGUUUCAAAAUAAUCCUGCUUGCUGUAUGGAGAAUUCAUCGAAAGGGGAUAUCAGUAAAAAUAAGAAGACGACCUAGCAGAAUAUUAGAGUAAACCAAGCAAGAGAGAUUUCUAGCUUAGACUGGAGAUAUGUCAAUGGAGAUGUAGAUGACUAAAUUAUGAGAGAUGCUUAGGAGGUAGAAAUGACAAAACUUGAUGAGACUGGAAAGACAGGAACCAUGUAUGACUCUUAACUUUCUGCUUCAGAUCUGCCUGAUAGCUCCAUUUACUGAAAAGAAAAAACUAAAGAAGUACAAGGAGUUCCAUCUUGAUUGGGUCAAUUUCAUGAUACCUUCAUGACACCCCAAUGGAGAUGUUAAAUAAGCAUUUGAUUAUAUUGAUGUGAAGCUGUUAUAUAAAUGAGCCAGAGAUGGCCCCUAGGUCAUUUAUUUCUUCACUGCAGGCUGAGACCCAUUAGCUCAAAAGCCCGCCAGAGACAAAAUCAAAUGUUUACACAUCCAUUUAUUUUUAAAAUAGGCCAAACAAGAAGAUUUUUUUAGCCAUUUAGAGCCUUCCUGUUUUUGCAUUCCCCUGUAAAAUUUCAUCCCAUAUCUGCUAGCACUAGAUGACCCCAGGGCCAUGGAAACUCCAACCCUGGCUGCCCUUCUGAGCUCUCUGACCCAAAGACUGCCUGCCAGGCUGCUGAGCCACAGUGCCUACAUACAGAAGCCCCCUCUCCAACCCCCCCCUCAGGACUUCCCCUGUCCUCCUCCCCUUCUGAGCAGCAGCCCUGGGCCAACAUCAGUGGACAGACCCCUGCUGUGAGGGAUUUUCCCAAAGAAUUUACCAAAGCAGCUCCCAAUAAAGUUUGUGAGUGCUACUGCCACCUUGUGGUCACAUCUUUUUCCUUGAUCAGCCACAAAAUCCUUGAAUACCCCCUAAAGCUCCAAGGAAAGAUGUGUCCUCAGAUGUCUCCCUGGAUAUAAGUAGCAUAGAGAUGGCACUAAAGGCCUCCGAGUGUCAAUGAUACUACCUCAAGAGGAGUAUACAGAAAUAAGGCAGGAGGGUUCAGGAGUAAAUCUGAAGUUUCAGAAUGUGAGAUCUAGUAAAGAGGAAAAGCAUGCAAAUAUAACCACUUGGUUAAUUCCUACUCCUACUCUAUCACUCAGGCCAGACACUGGCUCCUUCAGGACAAAACCCUGUCUCUUCCCCCAUCAAGCCAAGCUGCAUUGGAAUGACCGCCCUCUUCUCUGCUCCUGUGGUUUUUCUAUGUUUCUGCUAUACCACAUAUUCUUGGUUAGUAUUUGUCUCCACAUGAGGCUGUCCUUGAGGCAGAAUGUGUGUUCAUCUCUAAAUUCCAAGGAUCUACCACACCACCUGACAGUGCAAAAUACAGACUUUCUGACUGCACAGAUGAAUGAAUUGCACAAUCUGACUGUAUUAGAAUGGGUAUAGGAAAGGGUCGUGCUGCUAAUGUAGUGGCAGAGGGCUUCAAGUGUUUGGGGAACACUAGGACAUCUUUUGCUUCCAUGAUGAUGGUAUGACUGGCCACUUCUCUUUCUCAUUACAAAGUCAGAUUCCACUCUUACCCUAAUAUAAAGAUAUUGGGACACUGGGCUCCCCAGUGCUGUACCAUAGGGACUAUGUAGAGAUAACAGAAUAACAUGAAAAUAUUGUAAGUAAUUAGAAAGGCAGCUAAUUUCACAAAGACUCAAGCUGGCAUAAUACAGAAGGCCUUUUUAAAGUAUACCUUACAAUAUCAUUAUAUUAAUUCGGGUUUGCUUCUUUGUAUGAAAUUUAAAAUAAA